CCUUGCCUUGCUACACUUCACGCUGCAUGCUAUUGCUUAUACCUCUCAACAGCUGCUACGUGGAGUGGAGCAGUGUACCA